UGGGGAAUUUGGGCAAUGGGGGAAACCCCGAUCCAGCCAUCCCGCGUGUGCGGUGAAAGCCUUCCGGUUUUAAAGCACUUUUGGCAGGAAAGAAACGUCAUGGGUUAAUACCCCGUGAAACUGACGGUACCUGCAGAAUAAGCACCGGCCAACCAAGUGCCAGCAGCCGCGGUAAUACGUAGGGUGCAAGCGUUAAUCGGAAUUACUGGGCGUAAAGCGUGCGCAGGCGGUUCGGAAAGAAAGAUGUGAAAUCCCAGAGCUCAACUUUGGAACUGCAUUUUUAACUACCGGGCUAGAGUGUGUCAGAGGGAGGUGGAAUUCCGCGUGUAGCAGUGAAAUGCGUAGAUAUGCGGAGGAACACCGAUGGCGAAGGCAGCCUCCUGGGAUAACACUGACGCUCAUGCACGAAAGCGUGGGGAGCAAACAGG
rnacentral:rRNA from 1 species